rnacentral:misc_RNA from 1 species
GAUGAAGAACGCAGCGAAAUGCGAUACGUAAUGUGAAUUGCAAAUUCAGUGAAUCAUCGAGUCUUUGAACGCACAUUGCGCCCCCUGGUAUUCCGGGGGGCAUGCCUGUCCGAGCGUCAUUGCUGCCCUCAAGCACGGCUUGUGUGUUGGGCUUCCGUCCCUGGCAACGGGGACGGGCCCAAAAGGCAGUGGCGGCACCAUGUCUGGUCCUCGAGCGUAUGGGGCUUUGUCACCCGCUCCCGUAGGUCCAGCUGGCAGCUAGCCUCGCAACCAAUCUUUUUAACCAGGUUGACCUCGGAUCAGGUAGGGAUACCCGCUGAACUUAAGCAUAUCAAUAAGCGGAGGA